rnacentral:rRNA from 1 species
AACGAACGCUGGCGGCAUGCCUAACACAUGCAAGUCGAACGAGACCUUCGGGUCUAGUGGCGCACGGGUGCGUAACGCGUGGGAACCUGCCCUUAGGUUCGGAAUAACUCCCCGAAAGGGGUGCUAAUACCGGAUAAUGUCUUCGGACCAAAGAUUUAUCGCCUUUGGAUGGGCCCGCGUUGGAUUAGCUAGUUGGUAGGGUAAAAGCCUACCAAGGCGACGAUCCAUAGCUAGUCUGAGAGGAUGAUCAGCCACACUGGGACUGAGACACGGCCCAGACCCCUACGGGAGGCAGCAGUGGGGAAUAAUGGACAAUGGGCGAAAGCCCGGACCAGCCAUGGCGGGGGAGUGAUUAAAGCCUUAGGGUUGUAAAGCUCUUUUACCCGGGAUGAUAAUGACAGUACCGGGAGAAUAAGCUCCGGCUAACUCCGUG